GCCUGGAUGGCUCAGUUGGUUGAGUGUUUGACUUCAGCUCAAGUCACAAUCUUACGGUUUGUGAGUUCGAGCCCCACAUCGGGCU
rnacentral:tRNA from 1 species